rnacentral:rRNA from 1 species
UACGUAGGUGGCAAGCGUUGUCCGGAUUUACUGGGCGUAAAGAGCGCGCAGGCGGUCGUUCAAGUCGCGUGUGAAAGCCCCCGGCUCAACUGGGGAGGGUCACGCGAUACUGAUCGACUCGAAGGCAGGAGAGGGUAGUGGAAUUCCCGGUGUAGUGGUGAAAUGCGUAGAUAUCGGGAGGAACACCAAUGGCGAAGGCAGCUUGCUGGGACGGUACUGACGCUGAGACGCGAAAGCGUGGGGAGCAAACAGG